rnacentral:rRNA from 1 species
UGUCCUACGGGGGGCUGCAGUCGGGAAUAUUGCCCAAUGCGCGAAAGCGUGAGGCAGCAACGCCGCGUGCGCGAUGAAGGCCUUCGGGUCGUAAAGCGCUUUUCAGUGGGAUGAGGAAGGACAGUACCACUGGAAUAAGGUACGGCUAACUACGUGCCAGCAGCCGCGGUAAAACGUAGGUACCGAGCGUUAUCCGGAUUUACUGGGCGUAAAGCGUGUUCAGGCGGUCUAGCAAGUCGGGCAUGAAAUCUCUCGGCUCAACCGGGAGGGGUUGUCCGAUACUGCUGGACUGGAGGGCAGCAGAGGGUGGUGGAAUUCCGGGUGUAGUGGUGAAAUGCGUAGAUAUCCGGAGGAACACCAGUGGCGAAGGCGGCCACCUGGGCUGUACCUGACGCUAACACACGAAAGCUAGGGGAGCGAACGGGAUUAGAUACCCUAGUAGUCA